rnacentral:rRNA from 1 species
GAGUAAGAUCCCUCAGAGACGAUGAGGUUGAUAGGUUCGAGGUGGAAGCGUGGUGACACGUGGAGCUGACGAAUACUAAUCGAUCGAGGACUUAACUAAAUU